CCACAAGCUCAUUGUGGCAUAUGCCUUUCUGCUACUAAAUAAAUAAAUCAACAGAUAAAUGUAAUUUAAAAAUUUAAAAAGAAAAGUUCUGAUAACAGAUGCUUGCUAGGAUUGGAGGAAAGGGAAGCUUAUUCACGGUUGAGGGAGUUGUAAUUUAGCUCUACCAUUGUGGAAAUCAACGUGGGGCUUUCUGAAAAACUUAAAAUUAGUAGCUCAUUAGCUUUUCUCAAACUUGACACAAGCCAGAGUCACCAGGGAAGAGGGAACCUCGGUUGAUGAGUUACCUCUACCAGAUUGGUUUGUGGGCAUUUUUAGACCAGAUUGUCUAAGUGGCAUCUUUUUCUUGAUUGUUGAUUGAUGUGGAAGGGCCCAGCCCACUGAUAGAGGCCGGCCUGAAAGGUAUUAGAAAGGUAGCUGAAUAGAAGCCCUAGAGCAAGCUAGUAACCAGCACUCUUUCGUGGUUCCUGCCGCUGCUCCUUCCUGAGUUCCCACCCAACUUCCCUCAGUGUCAACUGUGAUCAGGAUGUGUGUCUCUGAGCUGCAGCAUGGGGGUGCACACUCACAAUCCCAGCACUUCAGAAGCAGAGGCAGGAUGUUUGCAGGUGUGAAGGCAGCCUGGACUACGUAGUAUGAAGCUAUCCUGGGUCUUAGAUGAGACCCCCCGCCAUCUUACAGAAAUGAAAAAGCAAAAAGGAACAAAACCAAAACCGCAGAAGGAAUUGCAUUCCACAAAAACACAUGCAAUCAAACACAUGUUACCACUGCUUCCUGUCUGUCUCCAUUAUCUGCCUCUACUUCUGGUUUCGCUUCCUGCCUUUCUUCUCCAUUUCAAACUAAACAACUCCUGUGGGCUGCAGAGUUAUACAAACUAUGGGGUAAAAGGAAAUUCCUCCUGGAGUAACCGUGGUGCCCAUGCUUUGCUGGUCUGGGUGGGUUGUUUGCCCUUCAUUACUUUAUCUUUUGUUCUCAUUACAUUUGUUCCUUCAGAAUGGCAAGCGAGCUCAGCAGAUAAAAGUGCUUGCCAUAGGCACCAAGCCCGAUGACCUGAGUUUGAUCUUCAAGUGGAAGAAAGAAUGGACUCUAAGGAGUUGUCCUCUGACCCAAGGUGUGCCCCCAAUAACCAGGGUAAAUAAAUAAUAAAAGAUUGAUUCUUUUCUUUGA